rnacentral:rRNA from 1 species
UGCGUCGAUGAAGAGCGCAGCAAAAUGCGAGACGUAACGUGAAUUGCAGGACAUAUUGAACGUCUAUUCUUCUAACGCACAUUGCGGCUUUGGGUUGACUGAAGCCACGCCUGGUUGAGGGUCAGUU